rnacentral:misc_RNA from 1 species
GGUGAAGAACGCAGCGAAAUGCGAUACGUAAUGUGAAUUGCAGAAUUCAGUGAAUCAUCGAAUCUUUGAACGCACAUUGCACUCUCUGGUAUUCCGGAGAGUAUGCUUGUUUGAGUAUCUGUAAACAUCUCAGAUCUCUCUUCAAUUGCUUCAAUUGGGUCGAGAGAAUUGGAUUUGAGCGAUCCCGACUCCUUCGUCAGAAAGAGGAGGGUCGCUUGAAAUGCAGGUGCAGCUGGACAUUCUUCUGAGCAAAAAGCAUAUCUAUUUAGUCCCGUCAAACGGAUUAUUACUUUUGCUUCAGCUAAUACAAAGGUUGAAUGAACUACCAACGCUGAUUGCAGGAAAACAUGUUCGUUUAUUCGGACUUGUAAACUCGAUCUCAAAUCAAGUAAGACUACCCGCUGAACUUAAGCAUAUCAAUAAGCGGAGGA